rnacentral:rRNA from 1 species
UGGAUCCUGCCGGAGGUUACUGCUAUCGAGGUUCGACUAAGCCAUGCGAGUCGAAUGUAGCAAUACAUGGCGUACCGCUCAGUAACACGUGGACAACCUACCCUUAGGUCGGGGAUAAACCCGGGAAACUGGGUAUAAUACCCGAUAGUCCUCGGAUGCUGGAAUGCCCCGAGGACGAAAGCUCCGGUGCCCAAGGAUGGGUCUGCGGCCUAUCAGGUAGUAGUGGGUGUAGCGUACCUACUAGCCUACGACGGGUACGGGUUGUGAGAGCAAGAGCCCGGAGAUGGAUUCUGAGACACGAAUCCAGGCCCUACGGGGUGCAGCAGGCGCGAAAACUUUACAAUGCCGGCAACGGCGAUAAGGGAACCUCGAGUGCCUGGUUACAAAUCUGGCUGUCGUGAUGCCUAAAAAGCAUUGCAUAGCAAGGGCCGGGCAAGACCGGUGCCAGCCGCCGCGGUAACACCGGCGGCUCGAGUGGUAACCGUUAUUAUUGGGUCUAAAGGGUCUGUAGCCGGCCGGAUAAGUCUCUUGGGAAAUCCGGCAGCUCAACUGUCGGGCUUUCAGGAGAUACUGUCUGGCUCGAGGCCGGGAGAGGUGAGAGGUACUUCAGGGGUAGGGGUGAAAUCUUGUAAUCCUUGAAGGACCACCAGUGGCGAAGGCGUCUCACCAGAACGGACCUGACGGCAAGGGACGAAAGCUAGGGGCACGAACCGGAUUAGAUACCCGGGUAGUCCUAGCCGUAAACGAUACUCGCUAGGUGUCGGCCACGGUGCGACCGUGGUCGGUGCCGUAGGGAAGCCGUGAAGCGAGCCACCUGGGAAGUACGGCCGCAAGGCUGAAACUUAAAGGAAUUGGCGGGGGAGCACCACAACGGGUGGAGCUUGCGGUUUAAUUGGAUUCAACGCCGG